GAUGAACGCUGGCGGCGUGCCUAAUACAUGCAAGUCGAGCGAACAGACGAGGAGCUUGCUCCUCUGACGUUAGCGGCGGACGGGUGAGUAACACGUGGAUAACCUACCUAUAAGACUGGGAUAACUUCGGGAAACCGGAGCUAAUACCGGAUAAUAUAUUGAACCGCAUGGUUCAAUAGUGAAAGACGGUUUUGCUGUCACUUAUAGAUGGAUCCGCGCCGCAUUAGCUAGUUGGUAAGGUAACGGCUUACCAAGGCAACGAUGCGUAGCCGACCUGAGAGGGGGAUCGGCCAAACUGGAACUGGGACCCGGUCCAGACUCCUACGGGAGGCAGCAGUAGGGAAUCUUCCGCAAUGGGCGAAAGCCUGACGGAGCAACGCCGCGUGAGUGAUGAAGGUCUUCGGAUCGUAAAACUCUGUUAUUAGGGAAGAACAAAUGUGUAAGUAACUAUGCACGUCUUGACGGUACCUAAUCAGAAAGCCACGGCUAACUACGUG
rnacentral:rRNA from 1 species